GACAAGUAGAACGCUGAAGAGAGGAGCUUGCUCUUCUUGGAUGAGUUGCGAACGGGUGAGUAACGCGUAGGUAACCUGCCUUGUAGCGGGGGAUAACUAUUGGAAACGAUAGCUAAUACCGCAUAACAAUGAAUGACACAUGUCAUUUAUUUGAAAGGGGCAAUUGCUCCACUACAAGAUGGACCUGCGUUGUAUUAGCUAGUAGGUGAGGUAACGGCUCACCUAGGCGACGAUACAUAGCCGACCUGAGAGGGUGAUCGGCCACACUGGGACUGAGACACGGCCCAGACUCCUACGGGAGGCAGCAGUAGGGAAUCUUCGGCAAUGGGGGCAACCCUGACCGAGCAACGCCGCGUGAGUGAAGAAGGUUUUCGGAUCGUAAAGCUCUGUUGUAAGUCAAGAACGAGUGUGAGAGUGGAAAGUUCACACUGUGACGGUAGCUUACCAGAAAGGGACGGCUAACUACGUGCCAGCAGCCGCGGUAAUACGUAGGUCCCGAGCGUUGUCCGGAUUUAUUGGGCGUAAAGCGAGCGCAGGCGGUUUGAUAAGUCUGAAGUUAAAGGCUGUGGCUCAACCAUAGUUCGCUUUGGAAACUGUCAAACUUGAGUGCAGAAGGGGAGAGUGGAAUUCCAUGUGUAGCGGUGAAAUGCGUAGAUAUAUGGAGGAACACCGGUGGCGAAAGCGGCUCUCUGGUCUGUAACUGACGCUGAGGCUCGAAAGCGUGGGGAGCGAACAGGAUUAGAUACCCUGGUAGUCCACGCCGUAAACGAUGAGUGCUAGGUGUUGGAUCCUUUCCGGGAUUCAGUGCCGCAGCUAACGCAUUAAGCACUCCGCCUGGGGAGUACGACCGCAAGGUUGAAACUCAAAGGAAUUGACGGGGCCCGCACAAGCGGUGGAGCAUGUGGUUUAAUUCGAAGCAACGCGAAGAACCUUACCAG
rnacentral:rRNA from 1 species